CUGCAUAUGAAAUAUAUAAGUAAUUCUCAUGAUCUUCCUUGACUUCUAAAAUAUCACGGCGUGAGGAUAGGUUAGCUCUCCCUCUCAGUCCUCCCUCCUCACGCUGCUGCGCCCUCAAAUCAUGAAUCAGAUCAACGUCAAUUACAAUGAAUGAACAAAGACUUUCAUUGAAGCUUAAUGCCAUUCACACGCCCCCUAUAUCCUCACCCACUUCUCCACCUCCUUCCUCACUCUCCUCCUCCCCCCAGUGCCCCCUACACACGAGCUACUUCUCACCACCCAUUCAUGUUACCACCCAGCACGCUGAUCACUGCGGUUGUAGAGUGUGUGUGUGUGGGUGGGUGUGUUUGUUAGAGCUGUGUGCUUUAAAGGGUUACAGUUGGUGACUGCGAAUCAUCUGCAAUGUGCGCAAGAAUGACGCAGGGCUGACUUCAACGCCGAAUACACGUCACUGAGCUGAGAAUACAUUUGAAAAAGUUCAAGGAAACGCCGGACUGAGCGGAAAUACAUGGAGGCGGGUGGAGGGAGGAGAGCGUCACAGGGGAUAUGAUAAUGAAAGAGCAGCGGGAAGCAGCAUGGGUUUAGGUGGGGGGAUGAAACACCGUAAAGAAAGGGUGGAGAUGCAGUCAUCAUCACCACCACAGGAAACCUCCCGGUGCCACGCGCUCCCGGGAGUGGAGGAGAGAGGGGGUGGUAGAGAGAGAGAGAGAAAUGAAAAAAAUGUGGCAAAAGAAGAGGCAGAAUGGUAGCCAAUUCAGCACCAUGGACAGUGACUGUGUAGAAAACAAGAUGGAUGUCUUAUCCUGGUUUGAAAAUAUUUCCAAAUGGAUAGACAGCGACUCUAUCAUGGCAAAGUCUAAGUAUCUGACACUAGAAGGAGCACCGGGGGGAAUGGGACCGCGCCAGCGGCAGAGAGGGACGUCGACUGCAGUGCUGUCCAUGGUUCUGAACUGGCUGCAAGUCUCUUGGGGCACCUUUCCUAUCUCCUGAAGUGUAAACUCGUUCACUACUUCUCAUAAAACUAAAAGUAUUGGAUUGCUGUAAAGAGCAUGUGAAGAAUGGACUUGUAACGGUAAUUUCCUUUUAAAUCAGUGAAGACAAGUGAACAAGUGCACACUUUGGGAGGAAGAAGAGUUAAUUGGGACAUUACCACUGUUUCAAAAUCAAUGUAUAUGUUUAAAGGUUGACAUUCAUUGUAAAUAAGUGAUAUCUCUCUCACAAACACCCACACACACACGCACAUCAGGUACACACAUAGAAACACAAAGUUGAUGACUGCGCCACGCAUGCUGCAUGUUGUGUAUCAGACACCGUGCGCUGUGUGCUCUAUCAGUCAUGAGUCAUACUGUAAAGACUGUUUUAUGUUGUCACUACAUGGCCAUGUUAGGCAGGACAGAAGGAAGUAGCCCCUUGAUACAGGUUUGUCACGAGAUUUGGAUAGUUCAGAUUAUCAUACUCUCAACAAAAUAUCUGUUGAUUAACAAGUGCUUGCUAAGGUUACGAUUAUGGUUAAGUUUAGAGUAAGGGUUAGGGUUAAGUUUUGAAUAAGGGUUAAGGUUAAGUUUAGAUUAAGGGUUAGGGUUAGUAGAUAGUCUGUAGAGCAUCUACAUAUGGACUAUCCAAAUAAAUUGUUGCCCAGGAUGACAGUACCAUGUUGCCCAGGGCGACAGUACCAUGUUGCCCAGGAUGACAGUACCACGUUGCCCAGGAUGACAGUACCACGUUGCCCAGGAUGACAGUACCACGUUUCCCAGGAAGACAGUACCACGUUUCCCAGGAAGACAGUACCACGUUGCCCAGGGCGACAGUACCACGUUGCCCAGGACGACAGUCCCACGUUGCCCAGGGCGACAGUACCACGUUGCCCAGGGCGACAGUACCACGUUGCCCAGGACGACAGUACCACGUUGCCCAGGAUGACAGUACCACGUUGCCCAGGAUGACAGUACCACGUUGCCCAGGGCGACAGUACCACGUUGCCCAGGGCGACAGUACCACGUUGCCCAGGACGACAGUACCACAUUGCCCAGGAUGACAGUACCACGUUGCCCAGGGCGACAGUACCACGUUGCCCAGGGCGACAGUACCACGUUGCCCAGGAUGACAGUACCACGUUGCCCAGGAUGACAGUACCACGUUGCCCAGGGCGACAGUACCACGUUGCCCAGGGCGACAGUACCACGUUGCCCAGGGGCGACAGUACCACGUUGCCCAGGGCGACAGUACCACGUUGCCCAGGACGACAGUACCACGUUGCCCAGGACGACAGUACUAUGGUCAAAACUGAUGAGCAAAUCCAUUAACUACUAAAUGUGUUUUAAGUUGGGUUCCUGGGUUGGACAUAAAACUUACAAGGUGAAUAGAAAGGACAGGAAAUGAGAGAUAUGUGAGGUUAGGUUCUAGAUGAUGAUGACAGAAGAGAGACAGAGACCCAGAGAGAGAUGACAGGAAAUCCAGAGUGGAGGUAGAGAAGGUCACACUUUCAUUGCAUAGUCCCCUAUAGAAAAUAAACAAGAAACUAGAGGAUGAAUGUGAGGUUUAGGACAGAGAGAGGACAAUAAAGGCUUUUCAAUGGAAUGGAAUUGAGAGAGAGAGGAAGGGAGAGAGAGAGAGAGAGCGUGAGAGGGUGUGUAUGCUACAUGGUCGUGUGUAAAAUGAAAAAAGACUAUAAACAUGAUCAUCCUCAGGCAAAAGGACUGUACAGUAUGUUGUCUUCACAUCUCUGUCAUAUAAGAUCAGUGAUGACACAUAGCAUGACUUCAAUAUUUUAUUAGAAUUAACUGCUGAAGAAAAGUACUGAAAACUGCCUGGAGACACCAGUUAGUCUCUGUCUCUCUCUCUGUCUCUCUCUCUGUCUCUCUCUCUCUCUCUCUCUCUCUCUCUCUCUCUCUCUCUCUCUCUCUCUCUCUCUCUCUCUCUCUCUCUCUCUCUCUCUCUCUCUGUCUCUCUCUCUGUCUCUCUCUCUGUCUCUCUCUCUGUCUCUCUCUCUCUGUC
rnacentral:lncRNA from 1 species